AUGGAGGAGCACCGUGGCGAGAUGGCCCGCUGGCUCGACAUCCUCGUCGCCAAGGGGGUCCAAGAGCUCGUCUUUGUCAACCGCCCUUUGCCGAUAGACCUGCGCCUCCCCGCCACGAUCUUCAACUGCGCCUCCCUCACCCGCCUCCACCUCGGCAUCUGGAGGCUCCCGGACACCGCCGCCGUACCGCGCACCGCCAGAUUCCCCAAUCUCAGGGAGCUCGGCCUCUAUUGGAAUUCCAUGGAGGACCGUGAUCUCGACUUCAUGCUUGAAAGAAGCCCCGUCCUGGAGUCGCUCUUCAUCUUGGGAUUCCAGAGCGGAUUACGCCUCCGCCUCGUCAACCAGAGCCUGCGGUGCAUACAGCUCGGCUUUUCCUUCGCGGAGGACAUCGACUUGGUGGAUGCCCCUCGCCUGGAGAGGCUCUUUCAGUUCGCCGAGCUCACCGAGUCCCCCAAGAUGAACAAUGGCCGCCCCACCAGGAAACGCUCUUCUAUGAUCAAGAUUGGCUCUGCUCCUAAACUGCGUGUGCUGGGAUACCUUAAGCCAGGAGAGCAAGAGCUGGCUGGGAACAAGGAGAAUAUUGUCCCUAGUGUGCAGAUUUUGGGCAUAGAGGUGCAAUUCGGUGUCCGCAAUACUGUCAAGAAAGUUCCUGGCUUUCUCAGAUGCUUCCCCAACCUGGAGACGCUCCAUGUCCAGUCCCGCCCCAUAUCUGAAGAGUCCACUGGCAAGGUCAAUGUCAAGUUCUGGCAGGAGGGCGGUCCCAUCAAAUGCAUCCUGCAGAGCAUCAAGAAGGUGUUCUUCUAUGAGUUCCGAGGGUUGAGAAGCGAGGUUUCUUUCCUCAAGUUCGUCGCGGAGAAGGCUCGGGUGCUGGAGCAGAUGGUGGUUGUGGUGGCCAUAGAGUGUUUCUCCCUGGGGGAUGAUAAUGUGAGGGUGAAGCUGAAGCCUCUAACCAGCGCAAAAUGGAACAGCAAAGCUUGCGGACUCGAGCUCUUCAAGAGCCCGGUCACUGACGGUUCAGGUCCUGCUUACAACCACGAACUAGCUUCUGAUUUUGAGUUUGCUGACCCUUUUGACCUCAAGUACUACAAAAGAGCAGAAAGGAUCUCUGUAAGUUAA
rnacentral:rRNA from 1 species